rnacentral:lncRNA from 12 species
GGCUCCUAUGUUCUGUCUUAUGUCUGUUUCUCUUUUUGUUCUUUUAGCACUUCCAAGACUUUGCAACUAGUUUCUUGGAUUGAAUCUGCUAUAUUUGAAAUAGUAAUAUGCAUCCUGUUUCCUGACAGACUCUGACUGAUGCACAUGGAAACUUGGGACUCCAGCCUGUCUGCAGGGACCAGCACCGGAAUACAGAAAGGUGAAUUUGGCUUGGUAUAAGAGAAGCAAAUUGGUUCUAAAAAUGGAGGUGAGGAGAAUCUAUUCCACCAAACAGCCAAAGGGCCAAGAAGUUGGAUGCCCACCUCCUAGAAGAUUGCCAUCCCUUAGGACUUGGUGA